GGCGAAGGGGGUGCGGCCUUGGAGCUGCGGCUACAGGGAGAGCGCGCCGGGAGCCCCCUCCUUUUCCGGGGCUCACCUCCCACCCGGUUCCCGACGCUCCGCCUCCUCCCAGCCUUCGGCGCUCGGGUUUUCGCCCGGAUCCCCUGGGCGCCUCCGGGACGUCUCCACAUCUUUGCCUUCCGCGCCUAGCGCAGUACCAACCGGUGCUUGGUCUUCCCGUUCGCUAAAAACUUAUUAUAACAACAACAACCUAGCAUUACUGAGUGCUUACUGUGUACUAAGUGACUUGACAGGCAUUAUUUCAUUCGGUCUCCGUGGCCCUAGAGACAGAGUCUCGCUCUGUCGCCAGUCUAGAGUGCGGUGGCGCGAUAUGGGCUCACUGCAACCUCCGCCUCCCGGGUUCAAGUGAUUCUCCUCCGUCAGCCUCCUGAGCAGCUGGGACUACAGGCACGUGCCACCAUGCUCAGCUAAUUUUUGUAUUUUUAGUAGAGACGGAGUUUCACCAUGUUGGCCAAGAUGGUCUCCAUCUCCUGACCUCGUGAUCUGCCCGCCUCGGCCUCCCAAAGUGCCGGGAUUAUAGAUGUGAGCCACCGCGCCCUGUCUUGUUUUUUAUUUAUAUUAUUUUAUUGUUGUAGUCUUACUUUUUAUUGUAUUUUUCCAAAUAUUUUCAAUCCACAGUUGGUUGGAUCCAUGGAUGCCCAACCCACAGAUAUAGACGGCUGACUGUAUUCUUAUUCUGCAGGAAGACAGACUGAGGCGCCGCUGAUGUAGGUCACACAGACAGCAAAUGAUAAGCAGAGAUUCUGCAUCAAGACUUCCUGCGCCAAAGCCCUCAAAAGCACCAAGCGCUGCAUGAGUGAAAAGCAUCUGUCAAAAUUAUUAUAAACUCAUGCCCGAUUCGUGAGUCACAAAAGCAAAACCUACACAGUCUGGGCUUCUAAAGCAGCUUCCUCCUAAAAGCUCAACAUGCUUUCAGCUCAUGAUCUCCUUCCUCCUCAUUUUCUGUUGGUCGUUUUUCUAACCAUUCUCUAAAAGCGAUUUCUUCCAACACUCCUCUGAGGAAAGGAGGAAAUGAGCAAAGUCAAAUUGCAUUACAGUCAGCCCCCAGGGAACAGUGGGAGAUUCUGCUUCACUGGACUCUGGUGUUUCUAAAUAUCGCUUGACAGAAAAAUUGGAAGCAACAGAAGUGUUCAUUAGAGGGAUGGGGUCAGCUGUGACAGCACAGCCACAGGAGGGGCCACUGGCAAUCAUUUAAAACAACCAUUACCGAGACUCUGUAGCAACAAGAAAAUAAUGCUUAGGGCAUAAUUAUGAAGGAAAGGAAAAGAUAGGAAAUUGUACUUACAAUCAUAUAAAAAUAAAUUAAAAUAAAUUAAAAGCUCAUGAUCAAUGUCUUGAAAGAACAAUGCAUAAAGGAAGCAAGAUGUGUAGGGUCCAGGCAUUAAGGCUGUCUUCUUUCCCCCUUAAUUUCCUAAAUAUUCUAUAAUAUGACAUAAUGCCUUGCCUAUAAUCCCAACACUUUGGGAGGCCAAGGCAGGCGGAUCACUUGAGGUUGGAAGUUCGAGACCAGCCUAACCAACAUGGAGAAACCCUGUCUUUACUAAAAAUACAAAAUUAGCCGGGCGUUGUGGUGCAUGCCUGUAAGCCCAGCUACUCGGAAGGCUGAGGCAGGAGAAUCGCUUGAACCCGGGAAGCAGAGGUUGCGGUGAGCCGAGGUCGAACCAUUGCACUCCAGCCUGGGCAACGAGAGCAAAACUCCAUCUCAAAAAAAAAAAAGAAUCACAGCUCUGUUUUUUUAGAGACGAUUCUUUAUCAGAUCGCUAGAUUAGAAAGACAUUUCUAAACACAAAAGCACUGGAGAAUAUAUUGAAAUUUUAAAAUGCUUGCUUUGAGGUACAUAAAAAUUAAAAUUCUUAAACUUCAGAAAAUACCAUAAAAACAUAGGAUAAAAGUUUGGGAGGAAAUGAUCUAAAAAUGUUAGUACAAGUUCAAGGGGUAGAAUGUAGAUUUUUACUUUUUUCGUAUAAUUUUCUAUAGUACUUUUUUUUUUUUUUUUUACCAUGACAGCCCGUUAUUUUAACUACCAGGAAAAGAGUUAUUCCCAUUGUGAAAAUAAGUUUGACAUAAAAACUAAACUGUAAGAAACUAGGGAGAAUUUUUUUGGCAAUAAAAUAGAACUCUUACAAAUUCAUAAGAAAAACAUUAAUACCCCAAUAUACAGUGGACAAUUUAUAAAAUUGUAUAUUCAAAUAAUUAAUAAAUAGGUUUUUGAAAGUCAUACUUACCAGAAAAAAAGAAAGGUUCAUUAAAUCAAUGAAAUACCAUUUCUGUUUUCAUUUUCGUCAAAUCAACAAAUUAUUUUUUAAAUUAUGUUACUUAAUAAAACCAUAGAGACAGAAACUCUCACAUUCUACUUCUGAGAGUGUAAACAGAUAACAGAAUUUCUAGAAAGCAAUCUUGUAAUAGAAUAAGGAUAACCAAAAUAUCCAUAUUCUUCCACCUUAUAAUUCCAAGUCUACGAUAUAAUUCAAAAAUUUGGCAAAGCUUUCACCACACAGAUGUUCAUCACGUUAUUUAUAAUAAUGCAAAACUGAACACAUCUAAAUAUUACCACCUGAAUGCCGAAUGACUAACUCAACUAUGGUAUGGCCAUAUAUGAAAUGUUUACUAAAAGAAUAUGUUCUUGAAGUUUCUCAUGAUAGGGAAAUGUGAUGUUAACAGAAUAAUACAGUUUCAUAUAAACAGGAUCGUGCCGGCCACUAUCCAAAACGUGACUGAUGUCUCCGGGUGGAGCCAUUCGGGGUGGGUUUUUUUUCUCCUACUUCUUUUUCUUUUUAUUUUCCAUACUUUGUACAUGUACUCUUUUUGUCUUCAGAAAGAAGUGCUAUUAAAAAUACAAAUUGAAACGAGGACAAUGUCCCCUGGGGCAAUAGUUGGGAAACCUCAGUGUGGCAAAAUAGAAAGAUAAAGCACACAGGCAGAGGGUGUGUGCUGUGCAUCUAAACGGUGAGGGUUGAUGAAGCCAUGUUUCUGUGUUUGUUUGCUUAUUUGUUUUAAAUAGACUUUAUUUUUAUUUAUUUAUUUAUUUAUUUAUUUUUGAGACGAAGUCUCGCUCUUGUACCCCAGGCUGGAGUGCAAUGGCUCAAUCUCAGCUCACUGCAACCUCUGCCUCUCAGGUUCAAGUGAUUCUCCUGCCUCAGCCCCCCGAGUACCUGGGAUUACAGGCGCCCACCACCAUACCCAGCUCAUUUUUGUAUUUUUAGUAGAGAUGGGUUUUCACCAUGUUGGCCAGGCUUUUAGAACACUUUUAGGUUCAGACCAAAAGUGAGCAGAAGGCACAGAGAUUUCCCAUAACCUUUGCCCCACGCAUGCACAACCCCCCUCACUAUUAACAUCCACAGCACAGUGGGACAUUUGUUACAACUGAGGCACCUCCGUUGAUGCAUAAUUAUCCGCCAUAGUUCAUCGUUUAUGUGAGAACUCACUCUUGGCUUGUACGUUCUAUGGGUCUGGGCAAGUGUACCAUGGUACAUGUCUACUAUUAGAGUACCAUAUAGAAUAGUUUCACUGCCCUAAGAAUCCUCUGUGCUCUGCCUGUUCAUCCCUCCCUCCAUCCCCCAGCCCCUGGCAACCACUGAUCUUUUUCCUGUCUCCACAGUUUAGCCUUUUCUAGAAUGCCAUAUCAUUGGGACCAGUUUGUACCCUUUUCAGACUGUCUUCUUUCACUUAGCAAUAUGCAUCUAAGUUUCCUCCAUGUCUCUUCAUGGCUUGAUCGUUUCCUUUGGCACUGAGUAAUGUUCCAUUUUCUGGAUGCGCCACACUUUGUUUACCCACUCACCUAUUGCAGAACAUCUUGGUUGCUUCUAAGUUCAGGCUAUUAUGAAUAAAGCUGCUAUAAAUAUCCAUG